UUCAAAGUGUGACAAAGUGGUAUGUGACCGGUUUACACACACGACUGCAAAGACAAAUCAGAAAGAUGGAACAGAAUAUAAGGUCCCAUGUGUGAGACCUCUGGAUGUGUGGCCACAGCUUGUGGACGCUGCAAACAGCAGAUACUCCACAGUGUGGGCAGAGUGACAUGACAUCUUGUCCCCUCUCUAAUUAUGUGAUUGUGACCAUGUCAUUGAGGGUUCAAGUCCCAAUGUGUGAAAACCCAAUAUGACACAAGCCAGGUAAUUUAUUGUAUAGCAAAUGUAAUAAUUAGCAUUUUCAAGAAUUAUCAGUAAUUAUAUGGUGAAAAUAUUGUUUUAUACCUCCAGAUUGGCUAUCUGCUCCUCUUGUAUAUGUAAUUGUUGGAUUUCUGUGUGUCUGUUUCUUUAACUGACAUUUAAAAGUUGAUUAUUAGCUUUAUUUUAGUUGCAGUGCAUUUAAAAGCAUUAAACACUA